CGCGCCUCAGCCCUGUAGGAGCCUCCAGCACCGUGGCGCCUGCCUCAAGUGCACCCGCCUUGCGGGACCCGCUCCAGGGCAACCUCGGACUUGGACCCCAAACCCAGGCCUCACUUCUCCGGGCGCUAAAAGACACUGCUCCGGAAGAGCCUCCUGGACUGAAGCCGCCUGGAUUGGCAGCUUUUACGGAACUUAACCAACUGCUUACUUAACACUCUUGCUCUUUCUACGUUUAAAAGAAUAAUACUGGACCCCGAGACUUAAACCUUCAGCUUUGGGGAGCAACACAGAUGAAUGUCUCACAAACAUAAUGUUGAGCGAAGAAGCCGGACACCGAGGGGUACAUACUGUAUGAUUUCAGCACACAAAGUUCAAAAACUGUGGUGCUUAUGAACGUAGGCUCAGCUGGUAUAUUACAAAUAAACAGAAGAAAGUAAUAACCAUAGAAGUCCAGAGAGUAGCCAUCUUGGGAGUGGGACGGUGAUGGCAACUAAAAAAUGAUGUGGGAGAAUGGCAGAUAAAAUGUACUGGAGUUUGUUGUCAUGAAGAGUCAAAAUAAGAAAUAAACGUUCUAGAGAUCCUCCGUAAGAUCUGUCCUGGAAGAGGGCAACGUGUUUCCCGGAAGUCCAAGAUGAAAGUCUUGUGCUGCACAGUUCCCUAGAGAGGGGCCUCUGAACAGCCUUGCUUUGGAGACUGAUGCAUCCUCAGGCCUCCAGAAGGAAGCUCCUGCUCUAGAGACAGACAAAGCCAGGGUGGGACACACAGCUUUACCAUGUGGACCAGUUGCUUUUCCUCUCUGCGUUUCUGCAUGUUCGUCUAUAAAAUGGAGAUCAUAAUCCAACCUCUAAGGUCUGUUAUUUCACUCCCUAACACAAUAUGUUCAAAAAUGGUUGCUGAAUGCUGUCAAGAUGAGAAGCAUUCUACAGAAGAAGAUCUGCCAACCCUGCGAUGUUACUGCAUUUACAUCACAUCUCACUGCCCUGUGAGCACUCUGCAUGGGCAGCCCCUUCAGGCCAGGAGUAAAUUACUUUUCCCUCCUAAUCAAAAUAAUAAGCAAGCAGCCAAAGUGCUUGUGAAGUGA